AGAGUUUGAUCCUGGCUCAGGACUAACGCUGACGGUAUGCCUUACACAUGCAAGUCGAACGGAAAGGUCUCUUCGGAGAUACUCAAGUGGCGGACGGGUGAGUAACACGUAGGAAUCUGCCCCAGAGUGGGGGACAACCAAGGGAAACUUUGGCUAAUACCCCAUACGGCGUGAGCUGAAAGUUUUUUCGCUCUGGGAGGAGCCUGCGCUUGAUUAGCUAGUUGGUGAGGUAAUAGCUCACCAAGGCGACGAUCAAUAGCUGGUCUGAGAAGAUGACCAGCCACAAUGGGACUGAGAUACGGCCCAUACUCCUACGGGAGGCAGCAGUGGGGAAUUUUGCGCAAUGGGCGAAAGCCUGACGCAGCAAUACCGUGUGUGGGAUGACGCCUCGUGGGGUGUAAACCACUGUCAGAAUGGAAGAAUUAUGACUGUACAUUCAGAGGAAGCACCGGCUAAUUCCGUGCCAGCAGCCGCGGUAAUACGGAAGGUGCAAGCGUUGUCCGGAUUUAUUGGGCGUAAAGAGUUUGUAGGCGGUUUUGUAAGUCUGAAGUGAAAUAAUGGAGCUCAACUCCAUACACGCUUUUGAAACUACAGAACUAGAGAAUGUUAGGGGUGAGUGGAAUUUCCAGUGUAGCGGUGAAAUGCGUAGAUAUUGGAAAGAACACCGGAGGCGAAGGCGGCUCACUGGGACAUUUCUGACGCUGAGAAACGAAAGCUAGGGGAGCGAAAGGGAUUAGAUACCCCUGUAGUCCUAGCCGUAAACGAUGAAUACUAGAUGUCAUGGGAAUCGACCCCUGUGGUAUCGCAGCUAACGCAUUAAGUAUUCCGCCUGGGAAGUAUGCACGCAAGUGUGAAACUCAAAGGAAUUGACGGGGACCCGCACAAGCGGUGGAACAUGUGGUUUAAUUCGAUGCAACGCGAAGAACCUUACCAGGCCUUGACAUCUGUAGAACCGAGUGGAGACAUUCGGGUGCCUUCGGGAACUACAAGACAGGUGCUGCACGGCUGUCGUCAGCUCGUGUCGUGAGAUGUUGGGUUAAGUCCCGCAACGAGCGCAACCCACGUUGUUAGUUGCCAUCAUUAAGUUGGGCACUCUAGCAAGACUGCCGGUGUUAAACCGGAGGAAGGUGUGGACGACGUCAAGUCAUCAUGGCCCUUAUGGCCUGGGCUACACACGUGUUACAAUGGCUAUUACAACGAGUUGCUACUUGGCGACAAGAUGCUAAUCUCUUAAAAAUAGUCUCAGUUCGGAUUGUAGGCUGCAACUCGCCUACAUGAAGUCGGAAUCGCUAGUAAACGCAGAUCAGCACGCUGCGUUGAAUGUGUUCCCGGGUCUUGUACACACCGCCCGUCACACCACGGAAGAUUGUAACACCCGAAGUCGGUGCUCUAACCCAUUUGGGAGGAAGCCGCCUAAGGUGCGUAUCGUGACUGGGAAAC
rnacentral:rRNA from 1 species